CACGUAGGAGGCGAGCGUUGUCCGGAAUCAUUGGGCGUAAAGAGCGCGCAGGCGGCUUGACAAGUCGGGUGUGAAAUCCCGGGGCUCAACCCCGGGGACUGCAUUCGAUACUGUCAGGCUAGAGGUAGGUAGGGGAGAUCGGAAUUCCUGGUGUAGCGGUGAAAUGACGCAGAUAUCAGGAGGAACACCGGUGGCGAAGGCGGAUCUCUGGGCCAUUACUGACGCUGAGGAGCGAAAGCGUGGGGAGCGAACAGG
rnacentral:rRNA from 1 species